rnacentral:tRNA from 1 species
GGACUCGUAGCUUGUGGCUAGAGCGUUGGCUGUAUUAAAGCCUUGUUUCCCUUGCUGGUGUGGGUUCAAAUCCCACCGAGGCCA